UCAUCUCGCGCCCUCAAUACCGAGCGAUGAUCGAUGCUCGGCCCGACGGAGACGGGCGGCCGGCGGACGCCAAGUGGAAGGGGGGCACCGGCACAAACGGCGAAACCG
rnacentral:SRP_RNA from 12 species